rnacentral:lncRNA from 1 species
UGAAACACUUUUGUACUCCUCGGAUAGCGACAAAGAUCGUGUUGAUGAACACUUAGAUCGAAACGUGCUUGACUGUCCUAUUUUAUUUAUUGAUGAUAAAUCUAUUUUGAUGGUUGAUAAAAAGAUUCUUGUUUUUGAUAAUGCAUGUGUGAGUGAAUCUAUAGACCGUUGAUUAAGGCAUCGUAAUCUGAAUCUGUCCAUUCACAUGCGUUAUACCUGUUCUAUUAUGCUUAUAACUGGACUACAAGCUUGUUUGCGUUGCUACUUACUAUUUCAUGGCUAUUCUUUUCAGUGGACUCAAUUGCCAUUAGUCCCGUUCGAUCGAGGAAAGUCGAGUUCAUUUGAUUUUUUUAGAUUCGAGGACGAAUCUUUUUGAGAAAGGGGGAAUGAUACGAGUCACAAAGGCCCAACCCAAGCUUAAGAAGGUGAUGGGCUCAAAUCAAGAAAAUCAAGAUUCACUUUCUUGUUUUCAAGAAAAUCAAGAAAUCGAAUCUUGGCCCAAUUUUGCUGUUCGGAGCGAUUUCAAGAAUCAAGAAAAUCAAGAUUUCAAAUCUUGGAAAUCUUGGUCCAAGAAACCGAAUCUUGCAGCCAAAGAGCGUUGGAUCUCCAUUACGAGCGUCAACGACCCAAUUUCGGUAAGAGAUGGAUCACAAGCCCAAAUUCUUGAAGGCGAGGCCCAAUAACCAAAAUCCAGCCCAAUCAAGAAAUUUCUUCAUACUUAGUUGAAAAUCAGGCCAAAAUGUCAAAGGGCCCAAUUUGUAAACAUCUUACUUGUUUAAUUUAAUUUUUUAAUCUUUAGGAGCAUUACAUGUAAAAUUCGGCCCAAAACAGCCCAUAUAAGUGCAUGGCCGAAUUUACCUUGUUAUUUUAUUAAUUACGUUUAAUUUUUUUAUUAGUUACUUGUGAGAUUAGGAUUUGUUGGAGGCCUAUAUAAGCAUUGGCCAGCCACCCUUUGUAAAAACAUCUUAUUAUUAUUUUUUUCUAUCAAAUUUCAGAUUUGUUGAGUGCAGAAUUUUCUUUGGGGUUUUCUCCAAGAAUUCUCUCUUGAGUUUUCUUUAGAAGUUGUUUUAACAAUCUUUUGAUUGUGGGAGCCAUCUUCAACCUUCUUCUUGCCAUCGAUAUUCUUUGGAGGGGAGAUUAGAGCCGUUUGAAGGAAUUUGUGAAUUCUUUCGGGAAUUCAAGGGUUCUUAGGACUUUUCUUUAUUUCUUGCUGUUUCGAUUUGUUUCUUUAUUCCUACUUGUGCCGAUUCAUUAUCUAAUCUUUUUUUUGCUGUUCUUGCUUGUGUUUCAGCUUUGUUUAACUCCAAGAUCCUUCCAUUUAAUCGGUCUACUUUUGGGCAGUAAAGUUUCGAACCAAAAUCCCUAAAUCCUAGGGUUCUUGUCGAUUAAUACAUUCUAAUUUUGGGGAAAUCAAGUUGCUGGAAUUUGGGGUUUUUAUUGUCGGUUUGUUCUUGGGCAGAUUCGGCUUGUGGGAUUUCACUAUUGGAGUUCGACUUCAUCUUCUUGAACUCCGAAUACAUUUAUUCAUUCGUUCUUUGUUCCUUGCUGCUCAUUUAAUUGAAUUUGGGGAUUUAAUUUCAGAUCUGAUUAGUUUAAUCUUGUUCUUUAUUUUAAUUUUUAGAUCUGUUCGUUUAGAGCUUUCGUAAGAGUUUCUCGUGACUUGGCAACUCGAUCUUGGUCCGCGCGCAACCCCGUAUCAAUUCCCCCUUACCUAAUUGAACCAAUUCCUUCAUCCAUACCUAUUCGGACUCCAAACCCAAACUUUCAAAUUCUUCUCACCUAUUCUAAUCCGAACCCAAAACCAAUAUCCUUCCUUCCUUCAUUCGACCUUUUCAAUUAAACCCAACAUAACUUCUUGUUGACGAUCGGGCACACUAAUACGACUCGACUCUUCCGAGGCGGAUCGUAUCACAUAUUUCCGGACGAAAUACCAAGUGGGCUGCCCCCUAUCCGAGGCAUCGAACAUCAAAUAGACUUAGUACCCGGAGCUGCACUACCCAACCGUCCUGCUUAUCGGAGUAAUCCCGAAGAAACGAAGGAAUUGCAAAAGCAAAUUACUGAACUCCUAGACAAAGGAUACAUCUGAGAGAGCUUAAGUCCCUGUGCGGUGCUGGUGCUGCUGGUACCCAAGAAAGAUGGGUCGUGGAGGAUGUGCGUGGAUUGUCGUGCCAUCAACAAAAUCACUAUCAAGUAUCGACACCCGAUACCCCGUCUUGACGACAUGCUUGACGAAUUAAGUGGAGCCCAGAUUUUCACGGAAAUCGAUCUUAAAAGUGGCUAUCAUCAAAUACGAAUGCGAGAAGGCGAUGAAUGGAAGACGGCCUUCAAAAUGAAAUGGGUUUGUACGAAUGGUUGGUAAUGCCAUUCGGCCUUACAAAUGCUCCCAGCACUUUUAUGAGAUUGAUGAACCAUGUAUUACGUGCGUUUAUUGGUAAAUUUUGUGUUGUAUACUUUGAUGAUAUCUUGGUCUACAGCAAAACUUUAGAGGAGCACGUACCACAUUUACGAGCGGUGUUGGAAACUUUACGAAAAGAGGUAUUGUAUGCUAAUCUCAAAAAGUGUUCAUUUUGCACUGAUAAAGUUGUGUUUUUAGGUUAUGUCGUGAGUGCCAACGGUUUGGAGGUGGAUCAAGAAAAAGUUCAAGCGAUUCAAGAAUGGCCGCGUCCGACGAACAUUAGCCAAGUUCGAAGCUUCCAUGGAUUGGCUAGCUUCUACAUCGAUUUGUGCCCAACUUUAGUACCAUUGCAGCACCCUUAACAAGCGUGAUUAAGAAAGCUCCGCAUUUCACUAGUCUGAAAAUCAAGAACGUUCAUUUAAUUUGAUUAAAGAAUGUCUUGUGAAAGCUCCUCUAUUGUCCCUUCCAGAUUUUACUAAAACAUUUGAAAUUGAGUGUGACGCUUCAGGUGUAGGGAUCGGGGCUAUGUUGACCCAAGACGAAAGACCGGUGGCAUAUUUCAGUGAGAAAUUAAGUGGCGCUUCCCUCAAUUAUCUGGUGUACGACAAAGAGAUGUAUGCCUUGAUUCGAUCACUUGAAACUUGGCAGCACUAUCUAAGACCGAAGGAGUUUGUGAUUCAUUCCGAUCACGAAGCACUUAAGUUUAUUAAAAGUCAGCAUAAACUCAACAAACGACAUGCAAAAUGGGUCGAGUAUUUAGAAUCAUUUCCCUACGUCAUCAAAUACAAGAAAGGUAAAGAAAAUGUAGUGGCUGAUGCCUUGUCACGGAGAUAUACCUUAUUGACCACUCUUGAUUCUAAGUUACUUGGUUCUUAUCAUAUGAAAGAGUUGUAUGCUAAUGAUGAGGAUUUUGGAAAUAUAUAUGCUGCUUGUGAAAAUGGGUCUUUUGAGAAAAUUUUCAGGUACGAAGGGUUUCUUUUUAAAGAAAAUAGGUUGUGUAUACCACAAGGCUCCAUUCGAGAGUUACUUGUGUUGGAGGCGCAUAGUGGUGGCCUGAUGGGACACUUUGGAAUAAGCAAGACAUUGUUGACCUUCUAUGAACAUUUUUACUGGCCACGAAUGAGGAGAGACGUGGAGUGGAUCUGUGAACGCUGCCUAAUUUGUAAACGGGCUAAGUCGAAGGUCCAACCUCAUGGACUUUACACAACACUUCCCAUUCUCGACACCCCGUGGACCGAUGUCUCUAUGGAUUUUAUUCUUGGAUUACCGAAAACUAAGACAGGGAAGGACUCAAUCUUUGUUGUAGUUGAUAGAUUCUCUAAAAUGUCACAUUUUAUUUCUUGUGCUAAAACUGAUGACGCUGUGCAUAUUGCUAAUUUGUUUUUUAGGGAAAUUGUACGACUGCAUGGAUUACCAAGAACGAUUGUUUCUGAUCGAGAUACAAAGUUCUUGAGUCACUUUUGGCGGACAUUAUGGGGAAAACUUGGGAUGAAGUUAUUGUUUUCAACCACUUGUCAUCCCCAAACGGAUGGCCAAACCGAGUGGUAAACCGAGUUUUGUCAACUUUGUUGCGAGCGUUGGUACGAAAGAACCUCAAGACGUGGGAAGAAUGCUUACCCCACAUCGAGUUCGCUUAUAAUCGCUCUGUUCACUCGGCAACCAAAUUCUCUCCUUUUGAGACUGUCUAUGGAUUUAAUCCUCUUACUCCUCUUGAUUUAUUACCUUUUCCUGUUGAUCAAUUUGUCCAUACAGAUGCAAGGAAAAAGGCUGAAUUUGUCAAGGAAUUACAUAGGAAAGUUUGAGAGAAUAUUGAAUCUCGAACCGAGCAAUACGUCCAACGAGCCAACAAAGGACGAAAACGAGUUGUAUUUGAACCCGGAGACGGGGUCUGGGUGCACAUGAGAAAAGAAAGGUUUCCGGCUCAACGAAGAUCUAAGUUGUUGCCGCGAGGAGACGGCCCCUUCCAAGUCAUCGAGCGAAUCAAUGAAAAUUCGUAUAAGCUUGACUUACCAGGUGAGUACAAUGUUAGUGCUAGUUUUAAUGUGUCUGACUUGACUCCUUUCGAUGUAGAUACUGACUUGAGGACAAGUCAUUUUCAAGAGGGGGAGGAUGAUACAAUCACGGCUUCCCAUAAGUCAAGUCCAAGCCGAGAUCCGAUGGUGCUACCUCAAGGGCCGAUCACAAGGGCUCGUGCAAAACAAUUUAAAGAAGCCGUUAUAGCUUUAGUUCAGCAUGUGUGGGAUGAUGUCAAUGCUAGACCUAUCGAACCAGUUAGUGGCCAUUUUGGAAAUCCAUGCUGAACUUUUCUACAAGUUCAGUUCAGCUCACCGAGCUCACCUUCAGUUCAAGUUAGCUCCCAUGUAGCUCCACACCAGCUCAUUAGCUCGGGACCAGCUCAUUAUCAGCUCACGAGUUUAAGCCCAGCUCGAGUUUAGCUCAUGAAUUAACCAUCAGCUCGUGGAGUUCACUUUGAAUUCAUUUGACUACUAUUGACUUUUUAAUUAAUAAGUUCAAUAAUUAGUUCAUUAAUAUCCUACAUAUUAAAUUUAGUUCACAUUAGUUAUAUUAAGUAUGUCUUAAAGGUGUUUAUUGAUGAUAAUUAAAUUUGUCAUAACCGAAUUUAAUGUUGAUAUUUGUGUUCACAUUAGUUUGAAUUAAUUCUGCUCACAUUUCUUGUAGAAACGCAAUGGACAUAUGGAGAUUAAAAGCAAGCAUGAAUUUUGAAGGUGCAUGGACGGUUGAGGGACUUGAAUCUCUUGGGUGCAUGUGAUGUGAUCCGGCCCGGGUAGAUGAGUUGAAUUCACGUAGUUGCCCGAUCGUAGUUCGAGAGAGUCGUUCAUGUCUCGAAUUUUAGUAAUAAAAGUAAAAUAAUGGAUUAGAAUAAGCGGAAGGUUUCAAGAAGGGUAAGUUUAGUAAUAGGUUCGGUUAUGUGUAGCAAAGAUGGGUGAUGGAUAAAUGAGUCGGUUUGGAUACAAGAAGGAAAAGUUGAAAGAUGGGGAAUGGAAAAACAAACUCAACGUCAGGAAUGAUUCAACACUAAGAAGUGUCACCCCGGUUCCUAUAUUGUUAAGGUGAAAAGAUGGAUAGAUGGAUAGGUGAACGCCACACCAAGAUUGGUGAUAAGUUCAAACAAGACGAUUGACGCCACUAGCACAAGCCAGAUAAGUCUUUCGAAACUUGUACGAGAUAUGAGAGGAAGCAACCUCACAAGAACAAAUGUCCAUUAACAAUUUUGGCAAAAGUCCCUUACAAUUGAAAGAAAACAAAUACUUAUAGGCACAUAGAUGACCAUUCAAAUUCGGCAUCUAGAUGUUCACACAAUAAUAAAAACGUUCACACUAAUGUAUUAAAAUAGUUCAUAAAUUCGGCAGAUUCAUGAACUAGUUGAAUGGACACUUUCUUCCCCCUAAGUGUGUGAAUGAAUGCUUAAUCAUAAAGAAAGACUUCAAGUGACUUGUAUGUGCACCAAAGGUUGCAUUCAUCUCCUUGGGACGUUCAUGCAUUUGUAUGGAACAUGUAUCCUCAUAAUUAAACUCUUUAAUAGCAUGUAGGUUCAUAAAUGGAAGCAUGAACCUAGUAAAUUCAUUCUCCCCUUUGUGCAUACACUUAAUUCAAUCAAUGUGUUGAAUUAUUGAGUUAAUUCCUUCCUUUGGAUGUUCUUGAACCCAUCCAUGCAUGUGUAGUAGCUUAUAGGUCAAUUCAAAGUGUGAACAGCUACUUCUUGGCCGAAUAAGUGCCUUGGAAAGUUAAGAGACAGCCACCAUACAUGCACUUAAGCCAUUCAUGCAUUCUAUCAUCCCAUGCAUUUGAUCCAUUCAUGGACUAGCCUUAAUGUCCAUACAUGCAUUCGACACAUGCAUGAAUUUGUAGAAACAUUGCAUCUAGCUGUACAUGCACCAGCAUUUAAUACUUCUUCAUUCAUGAGUGUGGAAUGCCCAAAAGAGAUGUUUCUUCAUCCAUACAUUGUACCGUCCAAAGGAAUGUACCUGCAUGAAAUAAACAAGUCAUUAAGACAUCUCAUGAACACUCAUAAAUUCGGCAUGUUGUGAACACAUUAAUGUCAUGCAUUAAUUUGGCUAUGUGAACAUAAUCAACUUAUAUAAUGACAAUGACAUAUUAAUAACAAAUAUUAAUAUAAGACAAGUUUAAUGCUUAAAUGAAUAUGUACAAAUUUUUAUUUAAUGUAUUAAAGACAAAACCGAGUUUAAACUAAAAUGAGCUAAGCUUUAGCUCGUGAGCUAAAGUUGAGCUGAGGCUAAACUCCUAAGCUGAAGUUGAGCUAAGGUUUAGCUCGUGAGCUGAAUAUGAGCUAGGAGUGAGCUCGGUUUAGCUCAGGCAAGUUGGAUCGAGCUUGAAUAAGCUGGAUUUGAGCUGGACGGAGCUCGUGGAGCUGGAAACGAGCUGGGAUCAACUUGCCAACAUGUCAAUGCUCAGCUUGACAGACUUGUUUGAUGAAGUUCGCGGGGCGUGCUCGUAUCAUUCCCCCCUCUUUUAGGCGACUUUUCCUCAAGUCGAGCUGUUUAUCCAUGGGAGAACUUUGACUCGUGCAUGGUUUUCCUCGAUCAAAUGGGAUGGAAGAUGUCACACAGACCUGAAAAAUUCUUACCACAGCCAGUAAAAAGAAACUCAAAGGAGUCAGAUUCAAAUGUGUUCGAUAGUUCAUAAAAAAUUCAUUCAAUCGAACAUAAGCCAAAAAUCUCAAUUGGUCAAAGCAAGCAUACAUAAAUUUAUCAAAGAGUUUCGUUAGACCAUCGUUACAAACAUGAAAACUAAGUUGGAUCAAGGGAUAAUUGGUUGAAAAUGAUGGCAAGCACUUAAACACAUUAUUCCUCAUCCAAAACCUUUUAAUUUCUUUAAUCGAAUAUAGCAACUCAUUUGGUCCUUUGUCUUGCUCAUGCAAGGUAUGCCAUGGCCAAAGGUAUGCUAACUCUUUCUUUCGUUUUUGAACAACAUAAGGGUUGUCUCCAAAUUCCAACAUAAUAAUCACAUCAUUACAAUGCCAAAAAGGAAAAAUCUAUCACAUCAAAGUAUAAAUAAUUUCCAAACAACCAAUCAAUGGAAUUUUCAACUUCAAUCGAAUUGAGCAAAGAUAUUUGAAAAUUUUCAGAUGACUUACCUUGACGAAUAUGAAGAGAAGAAAUUGAGGAUUGGAUUUACCUUUCUCGGUCAAAAUGAAUCUUCUCUCUUUGGAUAGAUAACGUAAGACAAACCUAUUACUCUGAUAAAUUUGAAUAGGUGGUGACGCACCAUGACAUGUCUUGCUCCUCGAGGGGUGGAAUUCCCAAAAAUAAGAAUGGUUAGUAUUAUUGAAAGCUAUGGACUUAAAUGGAAAAGGAAAGUUACCAUGGAAAUUUGAUUCAAUUCCAAAAACAUAGGUUGGCCUUACCUUCUCGAAAUGAAACGAAAAUUUCAGAUGUGACCAAACAAGGUGAUUAAUAAAUGAAUCAAAAUUGAAACCCAAAUCAUUGAAUUUCACCUUCUUAUCAAAAGUUUGAACAUCAAGCAAACAUAAUUUGAAUGUAAAUGAUGCAAAGCACUUAAUGUUUCCAUAAAAUGAAUUCAUGUAGUAAAUACCAGGCUUGAACACACGAACUUGAUCAUUUGAUUUAGCAGGCAACAUGUUAAAUAAGGAAAAUAUAAUCAACUCAUUGCAUGAUUCAAAUUUCACUCGUUCAAUCAGACUUGAAAAAUUGGCACAACCAAGCAUAUUCAUUUUAUCACCAAAGAAACGAUGCAACAUGUUAUCAUGCAAGUAAAUUAAAGGAAACUUAAACAUGCAAAUACUCAAACAAUUUUGCAUCGUAAUUUCUACUCGAACAGAUAGAUCAAAGGAUGGAAAUCUUGCACAAAAUUUCAGAGAUUUAUCUUGAAGAACAAAGUCAAACAGAUCAAUUACUUCAUGCAAAAAUCUUUUAACGCAUAUAUCGAGCAAAGAAGUUGUGUUCAUGCAACCUUUCAGAAAUUCAAAUCCAUCACAAAUCAUUUGAAUAGGCACGUUUAAAUAGAAAGAUGAAUUCAAAGAAUUUUUAUAAUCAAACAAAUCAAAACGUGAAAAACUGCUAUCACACACAUUCACAAUUUGCACAGGAUGAACCGAUCCAACAAAAUCAACAAAAUUGUCAUUAUAAAACAUGUCAUAGGACGGAAUCUUCAUGACAUCUUUUGAAACAACAUCGUUAACAUUAGUAUGUGAACAGUAAUUAACCAAAUCAAAAGAUGGAAGAUUUUCAAAAAUAAAGCCAUAAAAAUCUAUUUGAGCAACUUUGUAUUCAAACGGCCUCGAAUCAAUAAAUAAGGAAUCCUUACCUUUCUUACCUUCAAUUGCAAAUGGGUGGCUAUCAUUCGUGAACUUACCUUUUUCGAACAACCUAAAACACCUCUCGUUUGGAAGGUAAUGUAAAUGGAAUUGGUCGCACAAACUUCUAGGAACCUGAAAAGUUAACUCACAAGAAGAUCGAACAGGUGGGUUAGUAGAAAUAAUCCUCACUUGCUCACUUGUUUUCUCACUCGAUUCUUUUGUUUCAAUUUCUUUUUCAUCUUCUUUUUCACUCUCAAAUUUCUUUUCGUUCUCUUUUUCAAUCUCAUUUUCUUUUUCAUUUUCUUUUUGCUUUUCAAAGGCUUUUUCAAGUUCUCUCAAGAUUCGCUCAUUUUCUCUCUUACUUGCCUCUUGCCUCUCUUUUCUUUUUAUUUCGUUUUCUUUUUCUUCUUUUGCUUUUUCUUUUCUUUUCUUUGUUUUCUCUUUACAAGAAUGUACAAAAGAACGAUGAGAAUACAAAUAUUAUUCGAAAGAUGAAGAACUAUUUGCGUAUGAUUCACAAUCAAAACUUCGUGAAGAAUACUCCUUGAAUGAUUUCUUUGAAGAUAUACUAGGAGUAUGUCUUUCUCUCCGAACGACAUCUUGGAACGAAUCAAAAUCGUAAUCGGCUUCUCGUCUUCUCAAAUUUCUUGAUGAAAAGGACUUUCGAUCAAAGUCACUUCUCGAAUUCGCUGAUGAAUAUGCGUCAUAGUAUGAAUCUCUUUGUCUCGACGUAGAUGGCAUAAAGGAAUCACGAUUGGAACUUUUUUUCAGGUAGUAGUCGGGGGUAUAUCUCCGUGGGUUUCUUGGUUCCGUUUUACGACUUGAAGAAACUCGAUCACUUUGGUCUCGUUUAGUCGCCAUUCUUCGCAUUUCUUGAACCAAGUAUUGGUAUUCCGAUUCGGUGAACUCUUCACGUGACAUGAUUUUUGUUGCUAAAAAGAAAAUGUUAGAUCACAAAACAAAAUAAAAAAAAAUUAAGUACCUCACCACAAACCUCACACUUUCGCUCAGAAAGAAGAAGGAAAAGGUGUCACUCCCGCUCGUGUUUUCACUCGUUUGGCUUUUACCUCCGCUCGAAUGAUCUCACUCGCUCGUGCCUUUUACCUCUCAAUCUUUUCUCUCGCAACUUUGUAGUCAGACUUGCUAAGGCUUUAUCGUAGGCUUAGGGGUCGGUUUCAAUAGGGUAACAAGGGAGACGCGUAUAGGUUUAAGGUUGGCUGAAAGAACAGGGAAUUGGGUAAGAAAGUGUGGCGUGCAUAUGAUUAAGGGGUUUAGAACAGAAGAUGGAUCGGGAAACUAUAUCAGAUCAAGACUUGACGUUCAACUAGAAAAAAAAUUGCAUAAAUCACUUCUUUUUUUUGAAUUUUUUUCGGGUUUUUUUUUCAAACUUGUAUAACUUUUUUUUUGUACUAUAUCAGCAAACUAAAUACAAUAGAAGCACUUUUGUACACGAUUUUUUUUCUUCGGCUACGUAGAUUUUUGCUUUUAUAAUAACAGCAACAAACCAAUCAAAAUGAGAAAACUUCGGUAUACGAUUUUUUUUUCUAUACUCUUUUUUUUUUCUGAAUCCUACUUACUUGCGUACACUUGGACUAACUCGGGAUUAAAUGAUACGAAUCGCCUCGGGGAGAGUCGAUGAUACGAUCUGCCUCGGGGUGAGUCGAGUCGUAUGUGAGUUUGCCCGAUUGUCUACGAAGAAGUAGCGUUCGAUUUGUUCAAAAGGAUGUUUUAAUGUAAAUAAUGGCAGAAGCUAUGUAAAAGGAUUCAAAGAUGGGUUUAUGGAUAUGAAGUUUAUGUAGUUGGGUUUAUGGAUAUAAAGUUUUUGUAGGUUUGGUUAUAAUGAAACGAAAAGAUGGAAUGGAAUGGAAAUGAAAAUGACUCAAAAACAAACACGAACCAAUAUUAGCAAAUAUUGACCCAAAUGUUUAUAAGUUUUCAAGGUGGUCGGAUGGAGAAUAUGAGAACCUUGACCCACUACUUAGCAAAGUAAGAACCUUGGCAUGUUUGAACGCCACACUACGAGUAGUGAUAAGUUCAGUUUUCAACAAAUAAAAUGGAUGACACAACUAGAACACUAGGUAGCCAACAAAUCUUUGAACGAAAACAGAGAAAAGUUUGCCUCACAAAUUUGGCAGAAUAUCUGAUGUGAUCCGGCCUGGGUUAAUUGAGUCGAUUCACUUGAUUGCCCAAUCGUCGACGAGGAAUAGUUGAGUUAUCGGAAAUAGGAUGAAAUAAGGCUAAAGAUGCGGAAGCUUUCAAAUGGUUUUAAAGGUUGGCUAGGGUGAUGGUAAAUUUAUAAGGGUAGUAGGCUCGAUUUAAGGAUAAAAAUAAGAAAAAUGGAAGUUGAUAAAUGAAGGCUCGGUUUUGUAAAAAGAUAUUAUUAUAGUUGGGUAAAAUCUAGGAUAGUCGGUGGAAUGGAUAAAUGAGCUUAAACGCCAGAAACGAUUCAACACUAAAAAGUGUCACCCCGAUUUCUAUUCGGUUCAAGGUGGGAUUGCGGAAUUGUAGAAGGGUUGAACGCCACACCAAAGCAAGGUGAUAAGUUCAAAAGAGAACGAUAGACGCCACUAGCACGCUAGAUAAGUCAGAUCGAAACUCGUACGAAUUUAGAGAGGAGAAAACUCACUCUUUGAACAAAGUUCAUUCAAAUGAUCAAAAGUCAAAAGUCCUUUUACAAUGAAAAUGAACAACUAUUUAUAGUGUUCAGCUAGGUACCCGAAUGGCCAAAACAAAGACUUAAUGUCUAAGUAAUUAAUUAGGCUAGAAAAAUGCUAGAAAAUUUUGGAAAUAAAAAACUAAAUUGCUGGAGCUAAAUUCAGCUGAAUUUGAAGCUCAAGGGACGAUUUCUAGAAGAGCAAAUGCACUUGGAAAAAUGGCAGCAGCUAGGUUCAGCCAAUUGAGCUUAAAUGAGCUCAUUAAAAUGUAAUUCUUGGCUGAAAAGAGACCAGCAUUAAAGGUGAACGUGAACAGCCUUGAAGGUGUGAAAAAGGAGUUGGAAAAGUCUUUGGAAGUGUGAACAAUGAUCAGCCAAAUGGUCCUUGGUGUGAACUCCAAAUGUGAACGCAUAGGUGCUGUUUUGGGAAGUGCAUCGGCCAGCUUUUGGAGAAUGAAUUUAGUUGCUCUUCUUGGCUGAAUUAACACCUUGAAUUAUCAUAAAAUGAGCCAUAUCCAUGAAUCCAACCAUUCAUGUAUUCAGCCAUUCAUGUAUACUCCCAUACGUUGUAUUGAACCAUUCAUGCACUUGGACUUUAAUGCUCCUUCAUGCAUUCAGCCAUCCUACAAGAAAAAAACAUGAACUAAAUUAAGUGCAAAUGUAUAUUCGGCUGAACUAAAUGGUAUUAAGACAAAUUAAAUAUAAUCCAGCCACCUAAUUAAAUUUGGCUAACACAACAUAAUUAUAACAUGUAAUAAGCUGACAAGUAAUUAAGAGCUGUAACUAAAUAACUAAUUAACUUAAAUAAUUAAUUUAUUCCAGCAAAUAAAAUUAAUUUAGCUAAAGAGCUAAUAAUGAGCUGAAUUGAAUUUAAACAAAGCUCAAACAAGCUGAAUUAAGCUCAUGUGAGCUAAAAUAAAAUUCGGUGAGCUAAACCAAGCUAAAUGGAGCUUGAGGAGCUGAAUUCAAGCUGAAAUCAAGGGCAUCCUUGGUGAUACGAGUCACAAAAGCCCAAAUUAUUGAAGGCGAGGCCCAAUAAGAAGAUUCCAAGCCCAAUCAAGAAAUCCACCCAUACUUAGUUGAAAAUCAGGCCAAAUUGUCAAAGUGGCCCAAGUUGUAAAGUUUUAUUUUUAUUUAUUUAUUUAUUUAUAUUCAGUCCAAGAGUCCCAAAUAAAAGACCCUUGGCCGAAUUUCCAUAUUAAAAUAAUUAGGAGUUUUUUUUUUUAGUUUUAGUUUUAGUGUUCUAAUUAAAUUAGGAAAACAUUUGAAAGGCCUAUUUAUAUGGCUUGGCCAGCCACCCUACACUACAUUACAAUUACAUUGAAAAUUUCAGAUUUGAUUUGAGUGAAAAUUCUCUUUGAGUUCUUCAAGGAUUUUCUCUUGGGUUUUCUUUAGAAGUUAUUUUAACAAUCUUUUUGAUUGUGGGAGCCAUCUUCAACCUUCUUCUUGCCAUUGAUAUUCUUUGGAGGGGAGAUUAGAGCCGUUUGAAGGGAGUUGUGAGAUCUUUCGAGAUUUCAAGGCUUCUUAGGACUUAUCUUUUAAUUUCUUACUGUCAAUUCUUUCUUUAUUUCUACUUGUGCUGAAUCAUUAUCUAAUCUAUUUUCUGUUCUUAUUGUGUUUUCAGCCUUUUUAUAUCUUAAGGAAUCAGCCCAAAAAUCCCCAAUUUCUAGGGUUUUUCCAUACUCUUUUUGGGUGAAAUUAGAUUGUCGAAAUUUGGGGAAAACUAUCUUGGUGUUCAAUUGGGCAGAAUCACAAUCUCCUUGAGGGUUUCAAGAACCCUAACACUUAUUUCUAUUCUCAAUUUGAUUCUUUGCUGAUUUGGAGAUUUUAUUUCAGAUCUGAAAAUUCAAAAAUCUAAUCUUUUAAUUUUCUGUUUCGUUUCAGAUCUAAUUGUUUAGGGUUUUCGUAGGAGUUUCCCGUGACUUGGCAACUCGAUCUUGGUCCGCGCGCAACCUCGUAUCAUUUGGUAUCAGAUUUUGGGCGUUUUGGGUGUUCUUGGUUGAUUUCUAAACUGAUCUCUAUUUUUUAAAUUACAAACAGCAGUUUUACCCAGAAAAAUUUUCGAAAAAAAUUCAUUUGAGUGGGUAAACGUUUUCUGAUUGAUCUGAAAUUUUACAUACAUAUUUUUGGCACUGUUAUUGAAUAUAAAAAAAUAUUUCCCGCAAAAAAAUAAGUCAAAAAGGUCAAAAAAUUGAAAAAAUACGAAAUCCAAUAAAAAAUUAAAAAAAUAUUCAGCGGGUUGAAUUUGGUGCCCAAAUUUUCCAGAUCAAAAAUUCAAUAUUUUAAGACAUUCCAGAUUUAAUUUUGUGAUUUUUGGAGAUCGGGAACACCUCUAACGAAGUUGUCAAGUUACUCCACAGUUUUUCGGGUUUUCUGGUUUUAGCAAUUUUUAUUGAUUCUUAGCUGUAGGUUUUCAUUUGUUUACCUUUAUUCUUCCUUUACGUUAUCUAACACCUUCUUGUUUCUUGUUUUAGUAGGAUUUAAACGUGUGCACAACUUCUUCCUCGGUGCAACACGAAUCAAUUGGUGUCUCGUCAGUUUUUGGCAUCCUAGUGCAAAUUAGGAUUCUUUGGUAGUUUGGUUCACACUCUCGAAUUGGUUAAUAUAAACUCUGAUAAAGAACUCACAAGAUUGAAUUCGACCUCAUUGAGAAUUUGAUUUUUUCUUUUUGAGUGAUUAACGGUGAGGUUUGAUAACUUUUAUUUUUGAGUGUUGAGUGUUUUGCAGGUUUUAAAAAAAAUGUCUACAGGUGAUAAUAAUGGUGACAUAUUUUAAAAAUUCCAACAACAAUUGGAUGAACAGGCUGCUGCUCUUCGAGCUUUGACUGCUACCAUCAAUGAGGUGCGAUUGAAUCAAGAACCUCAAUAUCGAUAUCCAAUCAAGGAAGAUAGGGAUAACCAGCCCCAUAGGCGCGACCCUCGACGUGUCCCUAGAAUGGAUGAUGAUUUUCAUGAUCGUGGGCAACCUUCUUUGGCAAAACCAAAGAGUGAGCAGCAACGAGAACAUCUCUUUCAUACUCGCUGCCAUGUACAAGGUAAGCUUUGUAGAGUUAUUAUUGAUGGUGAAAGUUGCACGAACGUAGCCAGCACGACGAUGGUGGAAAAGCUUUGCUUAACCACUACCAAGCAUCCACAACCUUAUCAACUACAAGAGUUUAGCAACGAAGGCCGAUUUAAGGUCACUCAACAAGUACGCAUCGCCUUUUCUAUCGGUAAGUAUCAAGACGAAGUUGUGUGCGACGUAAUGCCUAUUCAAGCCUGCCAUUUGUUGCUAGGAGAACCAUGGCAACUGGAUCGAAAAGUCACUCACGAUGGUCGUACCAAUAGGUAUUCUUUCAAGUAUCAAGGAAGGAAAAUCACCUUAGUGCCGCUCACUCUAGAACAAGUCCAUGAGGACCAAAUCAAACUGAAAAAUUCUGUUGUUAAAACAAGUGAGGAAAAAGAAAAAGAGAAUGAAAAAGAGCAAAAAGAGAUUGAGAGUGAAAAGGAAUGUGAAACAAAAAAGAAAAUUGAAAAAGAAGUUGAAGAAAGAAAAGAAAAUGAGUUAGAAAAAGAAACAAAAGAAAAAGACGAGGAAAGGCUAGUGAGGAAUGUUUCCACUAACCAAGAUAUGAAUUUUUCUUGUGUUGCUACUUUUCAGGUUCUUGAAAGAUCGAAAGAUAACUUUCAACUUCAAUACCUCUCAAAUGAAAGACGCUUUCAUAUGAUCAACUUAAGCAAAGAUGAAAUCACACUACAUGAUCCCGAAGGUAAGCGAGGUAAGGAAAUUUUAGAAACCGAGUCCAGUGCAGAUUUGAAAAUUAUUGAUAAAACUUUUGGUGACUUAGUUCUUAAAAGAUCCCCUCAUUUUGAUCCGAUUAAUUGUUACUCUUCGAUUGUGGUUGAUAAAGUCAUUACGAAAAGAAGCAUGAUUUGUUAUUCUCUUGAUUUACCUUGUGUAAAAUCCUUGAAUUUGUCCAAAUCUGUUUUGGAGAAUAAGGUAACGAAAUUUUCCAAAUUUGUUUUCAAUUUAUAUUCGUGCCUUAAACAGUUUAUGUGGUUGUACAUGAAGUUUGAGUUCCAUUUGACAAACGUUAACUCAACAACGAAGAUUUGACUACACUAUGCCCCCGAUGAACGAAGGUUUGUUUUAAAUGAAAAAGGUAAAAUCGACCCUUAUUCUUCUGCUUAUCGAGGUAAGAUGCUUGACACCUUUGAAACACUUUUGUACUCCUCGGAUAAUGAUAAAGAUCAUGUUGAUGAACACUUAGAUCGAAACAUGCUUGACUGUCCUAUUUUAUUUAUUGAUGAUCUAUCUGUUUUGAUGGUUGAUAAAAAGAUUCUUGUUUUUGAUAAUGCAUAUGUGAGUGAAUCUAUAGACCGUCGAUUAAUGCAUGGUAUGAUUAUGCAACUCUGUGAACCAUGUGAAUCUUUUCA